rnacentral:rRNA from 1 species
AGAGCGAACGCUGGCGGCAGGCUUAACACAUGCAAGUCGAGCGGGCGUAGCAAUACGUCAGCGGCAGACGGGUGAGUAACGCGUGGGAACGUACCUUUUGGUUCGGAACAACACAGGGAAACUUGUGCUAAUACCGGAUAAGCCCUUACGGGGAAAGAUUUAUCGCCGAAAGAUCGGCCCGCGUCUGAUUAGCUAGUUGGUGAGGUAGCGGCUCACCAAGGCGACGAUCAGUAGCUGGUCUGAGAGGAUGAUCAGCCACAUUGGGACUGAGACACGGCCCAAACUCCUACGGGAGGCAGCAGUGGGGAAUAUUGGACAAUGGGCGAAAGCCUGAUCCAGCCAUGUCGCGUGAGUGAUGAAGGCCCUAGGGUUGUAAAGCUCUUUUGUGCGGAAGAUAAUGACGGUACCGCAAGAAUAAGCCCGGCUAACUUCGCGCCAGCAGCCGC